GGCAUGCUGGAGGUAUCAGAAGUGCGAAUGCUGACAUAAGUAACGAUAAAGCGGGUGAAAAGCCCGCUCGCCGGAAGACCAAGGGUUCCUGUCCAACGUUAAUCGGGGCAGGGUGAGUCGACCCCUAAGGCGAGGCCGAAAGGCGUAGUCGAUGGGAAACAGGUUAAUAUUCCUGUACUUGGUGUUACUGCGAAGGGGGGACGGAGAAGGCUAUGUUAGCCGGGCGACGGUUGUCCCGGUUUAAGCAUGUAGGCUGGUUGUCCAGGCAAAUCCGGAUAAUCAAGGCUGAGGUGUGAUGACGAGGCACUACGGUGCUGAAGUAACAAAUGCCCUGCUUCCAGGAAAAGCCUCUAAGCAUCAGGUAACAUCAAAUCGUACCCCAAACCGACACAGGUGGUCAGGUAGAGAAUACCAAGGCGCUUGAGAGAACUCGGGUGAAGGAACUAGGCAAAAUGGUGCCGUAACUUCGGGAGAAGGCACGCUGGUGUGUAGGUGAAGUCCCUGCGGAUGGAGCUGAGACCAGUCGAAGAUACCAGCUGGCUGCAACUGUUUAUUAAAAACACAGCACUGUGCAAACACGAAAGUGGACGUAUACGGUGUGACGCCUGCCCGGUGCCGGAAGGUUAAUUGAUGGGGUUAUCCG
rnacentral:rRNA from 1 species